GGCAAUAUCAUGUUGAAACACCUGUUCUCAUACAAUCACUGAAGUUAAGCAAUGUUAAGCCUGCUCAGUACCUAGAUGGGUGACAGCUUAAGAAUACCAAGUGCUGUAAG